UACGUAGGGGUCGAGCGUUGUCCGGAGUUACUGGGCGUAAAGCGCGUGCAGGUGGCUCAUUACGCCCGGCGUGAAAGCCCCCGGCUCAACCGGGGAGGGUCGUCGGGGACGGGUGAGCUUGAGGGUAGCAGGGGCUGGUAGAAUUCCCGGUGUAGUGGUGAAAUGCGUAGAGAUCGGGAGGAAUACCCGUGGCGAAGGCGGCCAGCUGGGCUACACCUGACACUGAGGAGCGAAAGCGUGGGGAGCGAACAGG
rnacentral:rRNA from 1 species